AAGAGCGAUGAAACAGAGAGAGGCCGAGAAAGAGAGAGGCGAUGAAAUAGAGAGAGGAUGAGGCCUGGGACACGGAAAAAGAAACAGAGAAAGAGGCAGAACGGUUAACACUGCAUCGAUUGGGCACCAUACAUUGCUUUUUUUCCAUUUUUUAGAUUUGGGCUUUUGAAGGACUUGAUUUUGGUUUAGGGUUACGUUUUUGGUCCAGCACCAUCCAUCUUCGGCUCCAUUCAAUCACAGCCUCAACGGUGACUUUGAUUCCCAGUUCGUUCUCUGGCCGAGUUCGUCUCUGCAACAGCAUAUUUUGAAGAAAGAUCUAUGAGGAAGAAGCUUAACUAAAGGAUUGAGCUCUUUCAUGUCACAUGCAAUCACAGCGUAGACCCAUGUAUCUAUGUGGAUUGGAUCAAAGUGCCAGUGGUGGUGAAACUUUUGUAGUGGAUUCGAAUUGCAAAGAGCCCAAGUGUAGGCAUAAUGGCUAUAAAACUGUGUUAUUAAAACUUUUGGUUUGGUAUUGCUUUACAAGUGUAAUCUGUGUAGGACAGUCAAGCUCCUUUGUUUGACUUGCUCUUCCUUUACAUUUAAAAAGGUACUACUGAUGCUGUAA